GACGAACGCUGGCGGCGUGCUUAACACAUGCAAGUCGAACGGAAAGGCCCUGCUUUUGUGGGGUGCUCGAGUGGCGAACGGGUGAGUAACACGUGAGUAACCUGCCCUUGACUUUGGGAUAACUUCAGGAAACUGGGGCUAAUACCGGAUAGGAGCUCCUGCUGCAUGGUGGGGGUUGGAAAGUUUCGGCGGUUGGGGAUGGACUCGCGGCUUAUCAGCUUGUUGGUGGGGUAGUGGCUUACCAAGGGUUUGACGGGUAGCCGGCCUGAGAGGGUGACCGGCCACAUUGGGACUGAGGUACGGCCCAGACUCCUACGGGAGGCAGCAGGGGGGAAUAUUGCACAAUGGGCGGAAGCCUGAUGCAGCAACGCCGCGUGCGGGAUGACGGCCUUCGGGUUGUAAACCGCUUUCGCCUGUGACGAAGCGUGAGUGACGGUAAUGGGUAAAGAAGCACCGGCUAACUACGUG
rnacentral:rRNA from 1 species